rnacentral:piRNA from 1 species
CCAUCUCAGUAGGAGGGUGUCU